AUUGAACGCUGGCGGCAGGCCUAACACAUGCAAGUCGAGCGGAGCUGCGGACGGGUGAGUAAUGCCUAGGAAUCUGCCUGGUAGUUGGGGCUAACGUCCGGAAACGGGCGCUAAUACCGCAUACUAUCAGAUGAGCCUAGGUCGGAUUAGCUAGUUGGUGGGGUAAAGGCCUAACAAGGCGACGAUCCGUAACUGGUCUGAGAGGAUGAUCAGUCACACUGGAACUGAGACACGGGCCAGACUCCGACGGGAGGCAGCAGUGUGGAAUAUUGGACAAUGGGCGAAAGCCUGAUGCAGCCAUGCCGCGUGUGUGAAGAAGGUCUUCGGAUUGUAAAGCACUUUAAGUUGGGAGGCGUUACCAACAGAAUAAGCACCGGCUAACUUCGUGCCAGCCGCCGCGGUAAUUC
rnacentral:rRNA from 1 species